GAUGAACGCUAGCUACAGGCUUAACACAUGCAAGUCGAGGGGAAACGGCAUUGAGUGCUUGCACUCUUUGGACGUCGACCGGCGCACGGGUGAGUAACGCGUAUCCAACCUUCCCAUUACUGUGGGAUAACCUGCCGAAAGGCAGACUAAUACCGCAUAGUCUUCGAUGACGGCAUCAGAUUUGAAGUAAAGAUUUAUCGGUAAUGGAUGGGGAUGCGUCUGAUUAGCUUGUUGGCGGGGUAACGGCCCACCAAGGCUACGAUCAGUAGGGGUUCUGAGAGGAAGGUCCCCCACAUUGGAACUGAGACACGGUCCAAACGCCUACGGGAGGCAGCAGUGAGGAAGAUUGGUCAAUGGACGGAAGUCUGAACCAGCCAAGUAGCGUGCAGGAUGACGGCCCUAUGGGUUGUAAACUGCUUUUGUAUGGGGAUAAAGUUAGGGACGUGUCCCUAUUUGCAGGUACCAUACGAAUAAGGACCGGCUAAUUCCGUG
rnacentral:rRNA from 1 species